rnacentral:rRNA from 1 species
GACGAACGCUGGCGGCGUGCUUAACACAUGCAAGUCGAACGGAAAGGCCCUGCUUUUGUGGGGUGCUCGAGUGGCGAACGGGUGAGUAACACGUGAGUAACCUGCCCUUGACUUUGGGAUAACUUCAGGAAACUGGGGCUAAUACCGGAUAGGAGCUCCUGCUGCAUGGUGGGGGUUGGAAAGUUUCGGCGGUUGGGGAUGGACUCGCGGCUUAUCAGCUUGUUGGUGGGGUAGUGGCUUACCAAGGCUUUGACGGGUAGCCGGCCUGAGAGGGUGACCGGCCACAUUGGGACUGAGAUACGGCCCAGACUCCCACGGAAGGCAGCAGUGGGGAAUAUUGCACAAUGGGCGGAAGCCUGAUGCAGCAACGCCGCGUGCGGGAUGACGGCCUUCGGGUUGUAAACCGCUUUCGCCUGUGACGAAGCGUGAGUGACGGUAAUGGGUAAAGAAGCACCGGCUAACUACGUG